rnacentral:rRNA from 1 species
UACGUAGGCAGCGAGCGUUGUUCGGAGUUACUGGGCGUAAAGAGUGCGUAGGCGGUUUCGUAAGUUUGGUGUGAAAUCUCCCGGCUUAACUGGGAGGGUGCGCCGAAAACUGCGGGCUUUGAGAGUGGAGAGGUAAGCGGAAUUCCUGGUGUAGCGGUGAAAUGCGUAGAUAUCGGGAGGAAUACCGAUGGCGAAGGCGGCUACCUGGACCAGCACUGACACUCAGGCACGAAAGCGUGGGAGCAAACAGG